UACGGGGGGGGCAAGCGUUGUUCGGAAUUACUGGGCGUAAAGGGCGCGUAGGCGGCCAUCUAAGUCAGACGUGAAAUCCCCCGGCUUAACCUGGGAACUGCGUCUGAUACUGGACGGCUGGAGUUUGGGAGAGGGAUGUAGAAUUCCAGGUGUAGCGGUGAAAUGCGUAGAUAUCUGGAGGAAUACCGGUGGCGAAGGCGGCAUCCUGGACUAAUACUGACGCUGAGGCGCGAAAGCUAGGGGAGCAAACGGG
rnacentral:rRNA from 1 species